rnacentral:rRNA from 1 species
UACGAAGGGAGCGAGCGUUGUUCGGAAUUACUGGGCGUAAAGGGCGCGCAGGCGGCUCUGAAAGUCAGAUGUGAAAGCCCCGGGCUUAACCUGGGAAUUGCAUUUGAUACUCUGGAGCUUGAGUACGGGAGAGGAGAGUGGGAUUCCCAGUGUAGAGGUGAAAUUCGUAGAUAUUGGGAAGAACACCGGUGGCGAAGGCGGCUCUCUGGACCGUAACUGACGCUGAGGCGCGAAAGCGUGGGGAGCAAACAGG